rnacentral:lncRNA from 1 species
UGAUGGUACGAACUGCAAGUGAAGUAUCUGGAGGUAGCGUUUUACUCCCGUGAGUCCCAAAAUAUCCACGGACACAACAUGUUCCAAGCCUCCUCAAGCCACUCCCAUCGACAGAACCGCAAACGUAAGGCUUCCAUGCGUACAGCACUUGCGAAAGUCCCAGCUGUGAAAGUUGCCCUCUAAAGUUGCCACCUCUUUCCACGUCCAUGGUUGUUUUUCUCUGUCCAGCACCGCGACCACAGCUUUAGAAUCAUGUAUCCCACAGCAUGUCGAAGAGCUAUCCACAGCACUCCACUAAACUCCAUUUGGAUCCGCUAAACUCCGCCACAUCUUCGAUCUGGAGCAGCACAAGUGCGGAGUGGUGCGAGAAGUAACUGAGAUAGUACUGAUGAACACCGUGUUGAGAGACGUCAGGCAAACCGUUUGGUAGCGAGGAAGUGUCCUAAUACCCAGCCUCGAGUCAAACACGUACGGGGAAAGCGAGAUCCGGAAGAAUUGCUUGCCGUCACUGACAUACGUCGCCAGCACCUGUGUGCACUUGUCGAUAAAACUGUCGAUAGACCCAUUGCUGCGUCAGUGGAUUCCCCACCAGGAAAUGCUUCUUGUUGACGAAGAUCUUCCUCCGGUCGCAUAAGACGAGGCCGCGUGAGAAAGGUAUGGCACAGAACAUUCGGGUGCAAACCGAGACUCCCAAGAAUCCGGCAGCUCUUUUAUGACGGGUUCAUUUCUGCAAAACAGCGAAGUUGUUGUUUCAAGGAAAGGAACGAGUAUAAAAAGUAUCACCAAGGCCAGCUGGAAGAUGAUAUCGCAAGUACCGAGUAGGUUCAUCAAGUCGGUGGUGCAGUAACAACACGAUUUUGGUUUGAGAGUGACCAUUUUGUCUCCACAGGAGCCUGAAACUCGGAUCAUCCAGCAUGCGAGCCCAGUGCUUGCAUACCAGCUUGGACCAUGCUACGUCUGCGGCUAGUAGCCAGGAGAGUAAAUGUGUCUGAAGCUCCAGCGGUAAGCUUCAGCAGGAAGAAUUAAAAGGAGAAGCAGAAAUCCAGUUAGCUCUAAAGCUUAAGUUAAAGGAGAGAAAAAUAACCUUUUCCUCUAGGAGUUGGUUGUUGUAGCUCGUUGAAUUGUGAUGCCUCCUCUGCAUGCAUUGGUGAGAGAGCUUUCAAGUUCGUCAGCUCUACCAGCAUCGAGCGAGAGUUGGAUUUCUACACUGCUACUUUCAUCAUCUUCGUCAUAGCUUUCUUUAAUGUUCUCGGUUCCGUGAAGCUGAAGCUGGAUUCAUCGCCCAUCAAGUCAGAAAGAACAAAACUAAUAACACCAAAGCUUACAAGAGGGUACACAGCUCCAAGAUGAUCAAACCCAAACUUGAGAACCAGGGAGAUCUACACACUCGAUGCAAGUCAGGAGACAACACCAAACUACAUAAGAAAACCUUUGCUUUGACAAUGUGCGUCGGUGCGUCUUUGAGGCAGUCAGCAGCGAUUCCUCCAUAAGCUCGAACGAGUCCUCCAGUUCCAAGCUUCGUUCCACCAAAGUACCUGGAUUUCCAAUUAGCCUUUGUUCUUUCGUUUGGAAAAACGAUGAUAGGUACCUCGUGACAACGACCAUAACUCCAUCCACACCAGAAUUUUCUAUGGCAGCAUAGAUUGGCCGUCCUGCCGUUCCUCCAGGCUCUCCAUCAUCGCUAAAACGAUAGCGUUCUUUGAUCUAAGCUGGAAGAAAAUGAAACAUUCAAGCAAGGAAACGAAGAAGGCGAAAUAAAUGAACCACAUUGUAAGCCCAGCACUCGUGAGUUGCCCGUGGAUCCAAGACCUUGCAAACAAAAGAAUGAGCUGAGAUCGCGAUUUUCUUCUUUGCAAAACUAGACCUGGGAGAGAAAUGCCAAUGCGCCUUGUUCAUCGUCCACUGUCCAGAGCGGCCGUGGCGAUGAACUUACUUCCUUUCAUCUCGCACUGCGAAGAAAACCUGCUGUAUAUGCCGAUGCUGCGCCAUCGCUCCAAGAUUUCGCUCCUCUCUGGCGACUGAAAUGCAUAUACAUUGGCGCCAGCGCCGCCGUCCUUCCAUCGAUCGGCGACCUAGCACCAGCUAGAAAAACCCUAGACGAGGAAUCCAAGCCCAAGCGCGAGUGCCUUUCGAAAAUUGCGGUGCUAUAGAAUCUUGACACACUCGUGGCGCAAUCCUCACCGUCAGUUCAUCCACUGUUCCCGCUCUCUCUCUCUCUCUCGGUAAGUCGGCAAUGUCAACAUCAAAGCAGGUUUGAUCUUCCCAAUUCCAUGCAUUCUCUCUCUCUCUCUCUCUAGGAAGUUCUCGCUACAUGUAGCUCCUGGGAUUUUGGAGUGUCUUGAAAUAUACGUACUCAUUUGAUCAUUUUUAUCGGCUAGCUCUCACUGUUCUUCUUCUUUUCUGCCUAUUUCUUUCAAGAGAAGCUGGCCAGAAAGACGAAUUUUCUUGUACAAAUCAUCGGGAAAAGAAGAAAUGGAGACUAGCUCUCAUUGAUUAUCUCAAGAGAAAUACGGAAAUAUAAUAAGCUUAAGUGAAAAACCUUUUACAAAAUUUUAAGCUCAUCUGAUUCUCAAACCUUCUUGCAGCCCCAGGAACAUCUUCAGUGUCAAGUUUGAAUAGCUCAUCCUCCUUCAGGUCAACAUAUUCUGACGCAGGAACUAUGGUGUUGCAGUUGGAGCAGCUGGAUACCUGGACUAUCGUCGAUGGUGCCUCCACUUACAUUGAGAGUCCGGGACCAAUUCUCCAGUGCGUUUCCGACGUGAAAUCCAAUCACCAUGAGUUUGCGAAACAGGGAAUCUACGUGUAUAUGGAGCCCUGGACGCUGCAGGAUUGUGAUGACGGCGCCAAGGCAGUUGGCUUGAACACCAUGGAUAUGCGAGAUCGAUAUCCCUACUGCGGAGGAGUUCCCGAGUAGACUCAAGAGCCUCAUCAACAACACUUUUGCGAAUGUUAGCAACGUCUCCAAGUUAUUGAAGAAUCCUGAUAGCGAGUUUUCCAACAAGAUUUUACAUUAUAGGUCAGUUCUUUGCUUUUUCUUCUUUCGAAUACAUGCUCUUCUUUUGCAGGUCUCAGCGUCCACAAGAAAUGGAGGCAUCUAGAUAAAAGGGUGGAAAGUAAAAGAGGUUUAAUAAAACUCCCUUUACCCAAAACUUUACACACACAUUUCAUCCCUUAAGCUUGUAAAAAAGGAAAUAUUUUAGGUUUUCACUUGUCCUUUCAGCAGAGAAGCCAGCAGCAAUGCCAAACAAAAGCAGCAAGGUGUACAAGGAGCUCCAUCUUCUCCAGAACUACCCACUGUUUUGGUCUUCGUCCUCCCAGCACAGUAGCCUCCAGUUUGGAAGCGUGGAUGAGCUGAAAUCGUACCUGAAACAGCAGCACCCGACCUGUAUGAAGUGCAAUCGUGGUGAGUGCAGCAACUUCGACUACUUUAACAACGACAACAUUGGCCAGCCAAGGUAUCGCUGCAGUCAGUGCAAGGAAAAAUUCACUUAUGGUGGAAAAACAAGACCAACCUACAUGAAGCGGCCCAGAUCAAGCAGCACUGAGGAAGUUGGCAUGGCACAUGAGAACAAGAAGCUCAAGCGCGCUCCAGUUGAAGAUGAGACGAAGAAGGGUUUGCUGGUCCACGAAAGUCAAGCGAAGCAGAGUGGUCAACAGGCCGAUAAAGCUGGGGCGGUGAUCAGGGUGGAGGACAAGGAAGAGUUUGACAUGGAUGACCUGGAGGUGGCUAGAAUCAUGGCACUGGUCGAGGAGAAUGAAGUCCCAAACGAGGAGGAACACAUCCCUCUUGUGUUCCCUGAAGUGGCAGAAAUUGUAGUGAGUGAUGAAGAGAUGACUGAAAUUCUGUCGUCAAAUCUUGAGGAUGUGGAUGAUGAGGAGAUGCUAAAUCUCGUGCUUGAGGAGGUUUUGGAGCGGCCAAAACACGAGGAGGGCUUGGCGGAAAUUCAAAUUGGCAAUGGGGAAACGAGCCAAAUCCUCCAAAAGAAUGUGGACAAUGAGGAUCUUGUGCUUGAGGGGGAUUCUCAGGAGGAGCAGGCAGAGGCAAUGGAGGGGGACAUUUGUUUUGCUCUCGAGCUUGAACAGGAUCUCCAGGCCGAAGAAGAUAAGCGAAAGGAGGAAUCCAUGAUGCUCUGGAAGAUUGAAUUGGAGAAAGCUAAAUGGAGUGAUAUUUUUAAUUUUAAAACUAAUCGGCAGGGUAGUAUUCUUGGUUGAUUGAAUCAACAACAAAAUCAACACAAUCAGGAUAGAAAAAAAAAACAAAUACUCCCAUGUUUGGUGUAAAAUUUAUUAAUAGUAUUAGAUCGAAGUACCACUUUUUUGAAUUAAAGAUGAUGUUCACAACAAGAAUUUUUCACUGGUCCUGAAAUCGAUCAAAACCUUGUUUCCAGAUCUGAUGUGACAGCGGCAAGAUCGGGUCCUUGGCCUUCUUUUCCGCAAUGCUCCAAACGCAUUGGGGCCAUGGUUACCAUUUUCUUGCAUAAUUACUGCUCGGUUUUCCUUGUCAGUGCUAUGAACGUCGGCCUUGCUCUCGUCCUGCUUUGGAGAUCGAGGCCAUCGAGGCCUCUCAACUCUGGCAUAUAAAGACUGCGACAGCGAAUGGGGAAUCGUUGCUCCAAGAGCUUGAAAGGCCGAGAAAGCAGCUAUGCGCGUCUCUUCUGCUCGAUCCAGGACAAUUCUCCCUGCUCCGUUGCAGCAUACAUCCAUACCAGCAUCUAUCACAACAAGCUUGCGAGUAAAAGCAUUCGGUAUAUAAGAGAAACAAACCUACAUGUCCUUUGAAUGAAGAAUCGCACAGUGCGUUUGUAAAUUCAGGAAUUGUAGCCUCAGCUACAGCUUCAACUGUUCGUAAGCCCGCUUUGUAUAAACACCUAGCUCGUGCAGCCUGUGAAAACAUAAAAGAAAGGUAAAACAAUCAAAGAAAGAGCUUGCACAGUGCCCCUCGGCACCUUGAACGUACUGCAGACGUCCAUUAGCGGCACUUCCUAGUGGCGAAACUUCAGUAUUAUGGAACAAAGGUCGACCAUACAUACCUGAACAAGCUUGGACAAUAUAAGAGCCACAAAAAAGCGUCUGUACACACGCAAGUUUUGAUUCGCCUCGCUAGCCUUCUCACUAGCUUUUAGACUCCUUUUACAGCCCUGCAUUGGUGCUCCAUGAGCCAUGCGCAUCAGGGAUGCCUCGGUCACCCCAACUGUAGCAACUGCCUGUAAAAUGCGAAAGCAUUACAAUGUCUAUUUCUAGCUUUCGUCUAUAAGAACCUGAUCCACAUAGGACAAUUCGACAAAUCUUUGACAGUAAACUCCCCAGUCCGGUUCAAGCUCCAUGUGUAUAGGAGUAACCUCGUAAACAAGGUGCAAAUCCGACGCUAAAACAAAACUAUCACGGGCUUUAGCAAGAUCCUCAAAGACAACCUGCAUCCACAUAAUUAAAAUUCGUCAUUGCCAGCAAAAACGAGCGAGAACGUACCAAGAAUUCUUCCGGGCUGAGCGAACUGCCAAACGCUGCUUUUCCUAAUGGAGUUAUUUUUGUAGACCUGUAACUCCUGAUCCCACUCUAUCAGUCGCUUGUGGCACAGAAAAGAAUCUUGAGCAGACUUCACGACGUCAUCAAAAGGCUGUGUAGAGUUGAGAAGGGUGCAGAGCGGUUGACAUCCUAUGCCCACCUCCAAAACGAGCUCUCAUCAUUCCAUUCUUUUCCUCGGCGAGACAUGACCGCAACGGUUGACAACCUUCUUUCAGAAUGGGAAGCUCCUCACUUUUACAGAUUAAUAUCUGGAAAACCAACAUUCGGCAAAUUUCAGAAUACAUAAACGAGACAAGUCUUACACUCUCGCCAUGCGUGUCUAUCCCUGCUCUUCUUGCUCUUCCAGCCAUUUGCCUGUAUCUCGUCGGGCAGUGGUUUCGCAGGCAUGACGACUUGAACAAAACAAAAGCACAGAAUGGCCUUACUAACCACCUAGACAACAAAGAGCACAAACUGAAAUCAGUAAGAGCUAUGAAAGGUCUUUGUCAAAACACAAAAGUAACCUCAUGGCAUGGAUGGACGAUGUGAUCUGGAUCCUUGCCGCUAAGUUCAGAGCCUGCUUUUAGAGCACGAACAGUAUUCAUACUAGUAUCGUAAAUGACUUCAAUGUGUUCAUCUAAAGGAACCGGGCGAGGCGAAAGUUAGUCUCAUAAAAUGCAGCCUGCAAAUUAUCAUCAAGGUCUGUAAGACUUGAAUAAAAGAUUGCAAUACCUGAAGCCAUGAUGCAACGGCUGCUACAUUAGGCAUCGUUGCACUCAUUCCUAUAAUUUGCAAGCUCGUGGGGCCGUCGUGUUGCUGCUUUCAUAGUCACCUUUACCGGCCGCAUAUCGUAGCUUAGUUCUAGCAAAUAACCUCUCUCUUUAUCUCCAACCUGCACUAGACUGUUAUAAGAAAGAUAUUGGGAUGUCAGUAUACAUACCAUAUGAAGCUCAUCUAUAACUACGACUGCUAGUUGGGACAGCUGCCCGUCCGAGUGAGUUCGCUUUUUGAUGGUACGAACUGCAAGUGAAGUAUCUUGAGGUAGCGUUUUACUCCCGUGAGUCCCAAAAUAUCCACGGACACAACAUGUUCCAAGCCUCCUCAAGCCACUCCCAUCGACAGAACCGCAAACGUAAGGCUUCCAUGCGUACAGCACUUGCGAAAGUCCCAGCUGUGAAUGUUGCCCUCUAAAGUUGCCACCUCUUUCCACGUCCAUGGUUGUUUUUCUCUGUCCAGCACCGCGACCACAGCUUUAGAAUCAUGUAUCCCACAGCAUGUCGAAGAGCUAUCCACAGCACUCCACUAAACUCCAUUUGGAUCCGCUAAACUCCGCCACAUCUUCGAUCUGGAGCAGCACAAGUGCGGAGUGGUGCGAGAAGUAACUGAGAUAGUACUGAUGAACACCGUGUUGAGAGACGUCAGGCAAACCGUUUGGUAGCGAGGAAGUGUCCUAAUACCCAGCCUCGAGUCAAACACGUACGGGGAAAGCGAGAUCCGGAAGAAUUGCUUGCCGUCACUGACAUACGUCGCCAGCGCCUGUGUGCAGUUGUCGAAAAAACUGUCGAUAGGAUGGACCUGGACCCAUUGCUGCGUCAGUGGAUUCCCCACCAGGAAAUGCUUCUUGUUGACGAAGAUCUUCCUCCGGUCGCAUAAGACGAGGCCGCCGUGAGAAAGGUAUGGCACAGAAGCUUCGGGUGCAAACCGAGAUUCCCAAGAAUCCGGCAGCUCUUUUAUGACUGGUUCAUUUCUGCAAAAGAGCGAAGUUGUUAUUUCAAGAAAAGGAACGAGUAUAAAAAAGUAUCACCGAGGCCAGCUCGAAGAUGAUAUCGCAAGUACCGAGUAGGUUCAUCAAGUCGGUGGUGCAGUAACAACACGGUUUUUGUUUGAGAGUGACCAUUUUGUCUCCACAGGAACCUGAAACUCGGAUCAUCCAGCAUGCGAGCCCAGUGCUUGCAUACCAGCUUGGACCGUGCUACCCAUUGCAGACCGCUGGAAUUGAGAAGCAGAAAUCUAGUUAGCUCUAAACCUUAAGUCAGAUAUAAGCUUUUACUCUGGGAUUUGGUUGUUGUAGCUCGUCGAAUUGUGAUGCCUCGGGGCUCUGCAUGCAUUGGUGAGAGAGCUCUCAAGUUCGUCAGCUCUACCAGCAUCGACCAGAGUUGGAUUUCUACACUGCUACUUUCAUCGUCUUCGUCAUAGCUUAGCUCGAGCUAUCCUCCAGUUCCAAGCUUCGUUCCACCAAAGUACCUGGAUUUCCAAUUAGCUUUUGUUCUUUCGUUUGGAAAAACGAUGAUAGGUACCUCGUGACAACGAUCAUAACUCCAUCCACACCAGAAUUUUCUCUGGCAGCAUCUUCCUGCCGUCCCUCCAGGCUCUCCACCAUCGCUAACACGAUAGCGUUCUUUGAUCCAAGCUGGAAGAAAAUGAAACAUUCAAGCAAGGAAACGAAGAAGGCGAAACAAAUGAACCACCUUGUAAGCCCAGCACUCGUGAGUUGCCCGUGGAUCCAAGACCUUGCAAACAAAAGAAUGAGCUGAGAUCGCGAUUUUCUUCUUUGCAAAACUAGACCUGGGAGAGAAAUGCCAAUGCGCCUUGUUCAUCGUCCACUGUCCAGAGCGGCCGUGGCGAUGAACUUACUUCCUUUCAUCUCGCACUGCGAAGAAAACCUGCUGUAUAUGCCGAUGCUGCGCCAUCGCUCCAAGAUUUCGCUCCUCUCUGGCGACUGAAAUGCAUAUACAUUGGCGCCAGCGCCGCCGUCCUUCCAUCGAUCGGCGAUCUAGCACCAGCUAGAAAAACCCUAGACGAGGAAUCCAAGCCCAAGCGCGAGUGCCUUUCGAAAAUUGCGGUGCUAUAGAAUCUUGACACACUCGUGGCGCAAUCCUCACCGUCAGUUCAUCCACUGUUCCCGCUCUCUCUCUCUCUCUCGGUAAGUCGGCAAUGUCAACAUCAAAGCAGGUUUGAUCUUCCCAAUUCCAUGCAUUCUCUCUCUCUCUCUCUAGGAAGUUCUCGCUACAUGUAGCUCCUGGGAUUUUGGAGUGUCUUGAAAUAUACGUACUCAUUUGAUCAUUUUUAUCGGCUAGCUCUCACUGUUCUUCUUCUUUUCUGCCUAUUUCUUUCAAGAGAAGCUGGCCAGAAAGACGAAUUUUCUUGUACAAAUCAUCGGGAAAAGAAGAAAUGGAGACUAGUUCUCAUUGAUUAUCUCAAGAGAAAUACGGAAAUAUAAUAAGCUUAAGUGAAAAACCUUUUACAAAAUUUUAAGCUCAUCUCAUUCUCAAACCUUCUUGCAGCCCCAGGAACAUCUUCAGUGUCAAGUUUGAAUAGCUCAUCCGCCUUCAGGUCAACAUAUUCUGACGCGGGAACUAUGGUGUUGCAGUUGGAGCAGCUGGAUACCUGGACUAUCGCCGAUGGUGCCUCCAUUUACAUUGAGAGUCCGGGACCAAUUCUCCAGUGCGUUUCCGACGUGAAAUCCAAUCACCAUGAGUUUGCGAAACAGGGAAUCUACGUGUAUAUGGAGCCCUGGACGCUGCAGGAUUUUGAUGACAGCGGCAAGGCAGUUGGCUUGAACAUCACGGAUAUGCGAGAUCGAUAUCCCUACUGCGGAGGAGUUCCCAGAUACAUCUUUUACUCGGACACGAGCAGACUCAAGAGCCUCAUCAACGAUGCUUUUGCGAAUGUUAGCAACGUCUGCGAGUUAUUGAAGAAUCCUGAUAGCGAGUUUUCCAACAAGAUUUUACAUUAUAGAUCAGUUCUUUGCUUUUUCUUCUUUCAAUACAUGCUCUUCUUUUGCACGUCUCAGCGUCCACAAGAAAUAGAUAUAAGGGUGGAAAUUAAAAGAUGUUUAAUAAAACUCCCUUUACCCAAAACUUUAAACACACAUUUCAUCCCUUAAGCUUGUAAAAAAGGACAUAUUUUAGGUUUUCACUUGUUGUCCUUUCAGCAGAGAAGCCAGCAGCGAUGCCAAACAAAAGCAGCAAGGUGUACAAGGAGCUCCAUCUUCUCCAGAACUACCCACUGUUUUGGUCUUCGUCCUCCCAGCAGACUAGCCUUCAGUUUGGAAGUGUGGAUGAGUUGAAAUCGUACCUGAAAAAGCAGCACCCGACCUGUAUGAAGUGCAAUCGCGGUGAGUGCGGCAACUUCGAUUACUUCAACAACGACAACAUUGGCCAGCCAAGGUAUCGCUGCAGUCAGUGCAAUAAAAAAUUCACUUAUGGCGGAAAAACAAGACCAACCUACAUGAAGCGGCCAAGAUCGAGCAGCAAUGAGGAAGUUGGCAUGGCACAUGAGAACAAGAAGCUCAAGCGCGCUCCAGUUGAAGACGAGAUGAGCAAGGGUUCGCUGGUCCACGAAAGUCAAGCGAAGCAGAGUGGUCAACAGGCCGAUAAAGCUGGGGCGGUGAUCCGGGUGGGGGACAUGGAAGAUUUUGACAUGGAUGACUUGGAGGUGGCUAGAAUCAUGGCACUGGUCGAGGAGAAUGAAGUCCCAAACGAGGAGGAACACAUCCCUCUUGUGUUCCCUGAGGUGGCAGAAAUUGUAGUGAGUGACGAAGAGAUGACUGAAAUUCUGUCGUCAAAUCUCGAGGAUGUGGAUGAUGAGGAGAUGCUAAAUCUCGUGCUUGAGGAGGUUUUGGAGCGGCCAAAACACGAGGAGGGCUUUGCGGAAAUUCAAAUUGGCAAUGGGGAAACGAGCCAAAUCCUCCAAAAGAAUGUGGACAAUGAGGAUCUUGUGCUUGAGGGGGAUUCUCAGGAGGAGAAGGCAGAGGCAAUGGAGGGGGACAUUUAUUUUGCUCUCGAGCUUGAACAGGAUCUCCAGGCCGAAGAAGAUAAGCGAAAGGAGGAAUCCAUGAUGCUCUGGAAGAUUGAAUUGGAGAAAGCUAAAUGGAGUGGUAUGUUUAAUUUCAAAACAAAUCGGCAGAUUGAAUCAACAAUCAAAUGAACACAAUCAGGAUAGAAAAAGAAAAACAAAUACUUCCAUGUUUGGUGUAAAAUUUAUUAAUAGUAUUAGAUCGAAGUACCACUUUUUUUGAAUUAAAGAUGAUGUUCACAACAAGAAUUUUCCACUGGUCCUGAAAUCGGGAAGCAGUCUUAUUGGCCUGGGCAUGUAUCAAGACCUUGUUUCCAGAUUUAAGAUGUGACAGCGGCAAGAUCGGGUCCUUGGCCUUCUUUUCCGCCAUGGUUACCAUUUUCUUGCAUAAUUACUGCUCGGUUUUCCUUGUCAGUGCUAUGAACGUCGGCCUUGCCCUCAUCUUGCUUUGGAGAUAUGGCCAUCUCGUCUGUCUCAGCCUGAGGCCUCUCAACACUGCGACAGCGAAUGCGGAAUCGUUGCUCCAAGAGCUUGAAAGGCCGAGAAUGCAGAAUCGUUGCUCCAAGAGAAAGUAGCUAUUCGGGCCGAGAAAGUAAUCCAAAGACUGCGACAGCGAAUGCGGAAUCGUUGCUCCAAGAGCUUGAAAGGCCGAGAAUGCGGAAUCGUUGCUCCAAGAGAAAGUAGCUAUUCGGGCCUCUUCUGCUCGAUCUAGGACAAUUCUCCCUGCUCCGUUUACUAUUUUCUUUGCCGCUGCACCAUACAUCCACUGCUGCUUACCAGCAUCUAUUACAAAAAGCUUGCCAGUAAAAGCAUAUAAGAAAAGCCAACCUGCAUGUUCUUUGAAUGAAGAAUCGCACAGUGCGUUUGCAAGUUCAGGAAUUGUAGCCUCAGCUACAACUUCAACUGUUCGUACGCCCGCUUUGUAUAAACAUCUAGCUCGCGCAGCCUGUGAAAACAUAAAAUAAAGGUAAAACAGUCCAAGAGCUUGCACUUCCUAGUGCCGAAACUUCAGUAUUAUGGAACAAAGGUCGACCAUACAUACCUGAACAAGCUUGGACAAUAUAAGAGCCACAAAAAAGCGUCUGUACACACGCAAGUUUUGAUUCGCCUCGCUAGCCUUCUCACUAGCUUUUAGACUCCUUUUACGGCCCUGCAUUGGUGCUCCAUGAGCCAUGCGCAUCAGGGAUGCCUCGGUCACCCCAACUCUAGCAACUGCCUGUAAAAUGCGAAAGCAUUACAAUGUCUAUUUCUAGCUUUCGUCUAUAAGAACCUGAUCGACAUAGGUCAAUUCGACAAAUCUUUGACAGUAAACUCCCCAGUCCGGUUCAAGCUCCAUGUGAAUAGGAGUAACCUCGUAAACAAGGUGCAAAUCCGACGCUAAAACAAAACUAUCACGGGCUUUAGCAAGAUCCUCAAAGACAACCUGCAUCCACAUAAUUAAAAUUCGUCAUUGCCAGCAAAAACGAGCGAGAACGUACCAAGAAUUCUUCCGGGCUGAGCGAACUGCCAAACGCUGCUUUUCCUAAUGGACUUAUUUUUGUAGACCUGUAACUCCUGAUCCCACUCUAUCAGUCGCUUGUGGCACAGAAAAGAAUCUUGAGCAGACUUCACGACGUCAUCAAAAGGCUGUGUAGAGUUGAGAAGGGUGCAGAGCGGUUCACAUCCUGUGCCCACCUCCAAAACGAGCUCUCAUCAUUCCAUUCUUUUCCUCGGCGAGACAUGACCGCAACGGUUGACAACCUUCUCUCCGAGUGAGUUCGCUUUGUGAUGGUACGAACUGCAAGUGAAGUAUCUGGAGGUAGCGUUUUACUCCCGUGAGUCCCAAAAUAUCCACGGACACAACAUGUUCCAAGCCUCCUCAAGCCACUCCCAUCGACAGAACCGCAAACGUAAGGCUUCCAUGCGUACAGCACUUGCGAAAGUCCCAGCUGUGAAA